CAAUGAAAUGUAUACUGAGGGACUAACUCCAGGCUAAUUCUGUUUGUUUCAGAUUGAGAAAUGCCCCAUGCAGACUCGUGGUCAGACAACCCUCUUUGGAGGGUCCACAGGCUGUAAUUGUGGUUUUCAUGCUGUUCAGCCGGCCCCUCAUGUUCACCAGCAGCAGUCUGUGGCCUCAGGCUCUACCCUGAGUGUGACUGCUGCCCCUGACUCAGAACCUGGUGCUACAGCCCCGCAGUCUUUCCUGCGUCCCCCUCCUAGUUUGGCAAUGUUCACUAAAUCACGUUUUGGUGGGUCGGUCUCACC